rnacentral:rRNA from 1 species
UGGGGAAUAUUGGACAAUGGGGGAAACCCUGAUCCAGCGACGCCGCGUGUGUGAAGAAGGCCUGCGGGUUGUAAAGCACUUUUAGUGGGGAUGAAAAGCCUGGAGCCAAUAACUCCGGGUCUUGACCUAACCCACAGAAAAAGCACCGGCUAACUCUGUGCCAGCAGCCGCGGUAAUACAGAGGGUGCGAGCGUUAAUCGGAAUUACUGGGCGUAAAGCGUGCGUAGACGGUCGUGCAAGUCGGGUGUGAAAGCCCCAGGCUCAACCUGGGAAUUGCAUUCGAGACUGCUCGGCUAGGGUGCGGAAGAGGGAAGCGGAAUUUCCGGUGUAGCGGUGAAAUGCGUAGAUAUCGGAAGGAACACCAGUGGCGAAAGCGGCUUCCUGGUCCGACACCGACGUUCAGGCACGAAAGCGUGGGGAGCAAACAGG